GUGCCUGUGGAAGUUCCCAGGCCAGGGAUCAAACCUGUGCCACAAUGGCAACUUGAGACACUACAGUGUCAAUGCUGGAUCCCUCACCCACUGUGCCACAAGGGAACACCUGCUUUCAAUCUUUUAAUUUCUCUAGUCUUUAUAAACUGGAGCCAGUAUUAGAGGAGAGGCAUUAGGAUAGUAAGGGAGUUGGAGAAAACAAUAUUUCUUUUUUUAAGUUAGAAAGUGCUCAUACCAGAGUCUACUAAGUUAAAAAUGAUUUAAUUCUCCUGAAUGGUUAAUAGCAUUCCUUUUCAUCAUGAUUGAAUUAAGAAAUCAAAAUCAAUGUUCUGAAUAUUAACAUUUGCUAUCCUUCACCUUUGUCUUAUAAGUAACCAACUAGCCAACAAACUACUCAACUACUUCUCUUCUUGCCUCUCUUGCAGCUAGAUAUAGCCAUGAUAUAGUACCAAAGUACUCAUGAAUUCAAUAGUGAGUCUCAAAAAACUACAUGAUAUAAUGAUUAACAUCACAAGUUAAGGACAAUAAGAUGUAAGUAGGAGUGUUAUGUAAUAUGUGCAGAAAUACUUCUUGAAAGUACAUGCACUACUACUCUUUUAAUUCAGCUAGAAGAUGUACCCUUUUGCCUUCCCUUGUACAUUUAGAGGUCUACAAUGUAAUAAAGAUGUGAUGCUCAGGACUCUGUCAGCCAUUUUGGAAUAUGGAGUAAAUUUGAGGAGAAAAACUGUGGGCUAAAAUGGUAGAGUAGAAAGAAAAUAAUCUUGGUCGUCUACCUCUGACCUAUUUUACUUGAGUAAUACAAACUUCUGUCUUGUUUAGGAAAUGGAUAUUUUGAAUUUUCUAUAUAUAGACAAAACAGAUCCUAAUUAAUAACUGCAUUUAUUCAGUAAUAGCUAUAGAUAUAUUUUUAUACAACAUAGCCAACUGAACUGACCCAGUAAGCAUAAAGGGUAAUCUUGUUUGCACUGUAUUUAGAAAAUACAAACCCUGAGCUCAUUUUAAUUGGUUCCAAUAAAUAACUUUUUAAAUCAAAGUCUUAAAUGAAGUUAAUAAAAUAGCAAAAUUCUGUGCACUACAAAUUGCAGUAAAUCAAUCAUUUCCAUUUCUGUGUGCAUACCCCAUGACCUGACAAUUCUACUAACAAAUAUAUACCCUCGAGAAAUUCUUUAAAAUGCACCAGGAAACAUGUCCAGAAUACACCUGUAGUGUGGCUUGUGAUUUAAAACAUCCUGAAAAUAACCCAAACCCAAAUGUCUAUCAACACAUGAAAUACAUACUCAUACAAUGGGAUAUAUAUUCAUCAGUAUGAAUAUAUAAAAUAUAAUGCUGAGAGAAAAAAGUCACAGAGAAGAUGACAGACAGAAUGAUUCCAUUAAUAUAAAGUUCAAAUCCAGGCAAGACAAAAUAAUUGAUUGUUGAAAGAUACAAAUAGGGGGUAAAAUAUAUAAACAAACAAAUAAAUACAAAAAUACCUUACUCAAAAUUUGAGAUAGUAGUUACUUUUGGCUGAGGUGGCAACAGAGGUGGUGAGGGAGGGGAAAACAGAGAGCUUCCAAGAUACUGAUACUGAUGAUCAAUUUUUUAACAUUUAUAUUAAAUGUUCAUAUUAAUCUUUAAAUCUUCACUAUCCAAUAUGGAAGCCACUGACUCACUGUGGCUACUGAGCACUGAAUAUGUGACCACUACAAAUUGAAAUGUACUGUAGGGGUAAAAUACACAUUGGAUUUCAGUGUCUUAGCUCAGAAAAAAGUUAUAUAUUUGUAUGUUUAAGUACUAUGUUUUCAAAAUAAAAUAUUUUAUUUUUUUAUAAUGGUUUUCAUUUUUUCCAUUAUAGCUGGUUUAUGUUCUUUCAAUUUUCUUUCAUUUAUUUAUUUAUUUAUUUAUUUAUUUUCCACUGUAUAGCAAGGUGGCCCAGUCAUGCAUGCAUGUAUACAUUCUUUUUUCUCACAUUAUAAUGCUCCUUCAUAAGUGACUAGUUAUAGUUUCCAGUGCUAUACAGCAGGAUAUCGUUGCUUGUCUAUUCCAAAGGCAAUACUUUGCAUCUAUUAACCCCAAAUUCCCAAUCCAUCCCACUCCCUCCCCCUCCCCCUUGGCAACCACAAGUCUGUUCUCCAUGUCCAUGAUUUUCCUUUUUGUGGAAAGGUUCAUUUGUGCUGUAUAUUAGAUUCCAGAUAUGUGAUAUCAUAUGGUAUUUGUCUUUCUCUUUCUGACUUAUUUCACUUAGUAAUAUUUUAUUAAAUUAAUUUCUGUAUUUCUUUUUACUUUUUCUAAUAUGUUAGUAAGGGAAAAUAUAAAAUUAUAUAUAUGAUCACACUAUGUUUCUAUUGGAAAUACUGCUUUAAAUAAUAUCUGUAAAUUUUUUGUUAUUUUUAUACAUAUCAUAUAUUUUGUAGUAAAGCUUUUAAUUAUACAUGUUAAUUAUAUAAUAAAAUUCAGUUUUUCACAAGUAAAGACACAAGGAGAAGUAUUUUUACUUUUCAAACAUAAUAUAAAUUAGUUGAAUGUAAUAUAUUCAAUUAUGGAGUCUUCUAAGUCUUUCUUCGGAACUGAUAGCUAUACAUUAACUCAGAUUUUAAAAAAUGGCAUGUGAUUAAAUUGAAUACAUACACGAACGAUUUUUGGUCAUAUGCUUUAAAAAUCUAGGAAAGAAUCCUGGAUUUUUCACAAAAGUAAAUUUGUGUGAUUAGUUGAUAUAUUGAAUUAUCAAGCAGUUACUGAAAAAGAAACUAAAAUUCAAUAAAAUCCUAAUGCAGACUACAUGGUUGAAUAUUAAAAAGUUAAAUGUAGCAACUAUAAAACUUAAAGAUUUAUUCUAAACUAAUUCAAAUAUUUGUGAAACUACAGAACACCAAUAUUAAGAAUUAUCUCUCCUCUGUGGAACUCAAUGUGACCAUACAAUUUGCAAAGGAGAAAGAUUAUAUAAUUUACUAUUUAAUAAAAAUACUUCAUCUGAAUAGAUGAGGUGUGAAUAUCUAACAGCCUUGAUGUUUUUUAAAUUUCUAGAAGUUCAAUAUCAUAUACAAGCCAUACAGAAUAUUGAAAAGGAAAGGAAAAUUAAAGGGUUAUUGGUACACUGAGUUCAAAAUGUAUUUUAAUUGUUUGAAUUAAAUGUACUUAAUUGUUUGAAUGUAUUUUAAUUGUUUUAAUUUAUCUGAUAGAAACAUGUACUCACACAUACUCAUCUCCUCUCUAUUUAUAGAUUAUUAGAGAUUCAAUGGAAAGGAAGUUCAAAAUGAGACAAGGAAAUUUAAUCAGU
ensembl:lncRNA